UACGAAGGGGGCUAGCGUUGCUCGGAAUCACUGGGCGUAAAGGGUGCGUAGGCGGGUCUUUAAGUCAGGGGUGAAAUCCUGGAGCUCAACUCCAGAACCGCCUUUGAUACUGAGGAUCUUGAGUUCGGGAGAGGUGAGUGGAACUGCGAGUGUAGAGGUGAAAUUCGUAGAUAUUCGCAAGAACACCAGUGGCGAAGGCGGCUCACUGGACCACAACUGACGCUGAGGUGCGAAAGCGUGGGGAGCGAACAGG
rnacentral:rRNA from 1 species